UACGUAGGCGGAAAAUUAAGUCAGUAGUGAAAUCCUGCAGCUUAACUGUAGAACUGUUAUUGAUACUGGUUUUCUUGAAUAUAGUUGAAGUAGGCGGAAUGUGUAAUGUAGCGGUGAAAUGCUUAGAUAUUACACAGAACACCGAUUGCGAAGGCAGCUUACUAAGCUGUGAUUGACGCUGAGGUACGAAAGCGUGGGGAGCGAACAGGAUUAGAUACCCUGGUAGUCC
rnacentral:rRNA from 1 species